CUAGCGGCGAACGGGUGAGUAACACGUGGGCAACCUGCCCUCAGCUCUGGGAUAACUCCAAGAAAUUGGUGCUAAUACCGGAUGUGACCGCUGACCGCAUGGUCUGGUGGUGGAAAGAUUCAUCGGCUGAGGAUGGGCCCGCGGCCUAUCAGCUUGUUGGUGGGGUGAUGGCCUACCAAGGCGACGACGGGUAGCCGGCCUGAGAGGGUGACCGGCCACACUGGGACUGAGACACGGCCCAGACUCCUACGGGAGGCAGCAGUGGGGAAUAUUGCGCAAUGGGCGGAAGCCUGACGCAGCGACGCCGCGUGAGGGAUGACGGCCUUCGGGUUGUAAACCUCUUUCAGCAGGGACGAAGCGGAAGUGACGGUACCUGCAGAAGAAGCACCGGCCAACUACGUGCCAGCAGCCGCGGUAAUACGUAGGGUGCAAGCGUUGUCCGGAAUUAUUGGGCGUAAAGAGCUCGUAGGCGGUCUGUCACGUCGGCUGUGAAAACCCGAGGCUCAACCUCGGGCCUGCAGUCGAUACGGGCAAACUAGAGUGUUGCAGGGGAGACUGGAAUUCCUGGUGUAGCGGUGAAAUGCGCAGAUAUCAGGAGGAACACCGGUGGCGAAGGCGGGUCUCUGGGCAACAACUGACGC
rnacentral:rRNA from 1 species